rnacentral:rRNA from 1 species
UACGGGGGGGCAAGCGUUGUUCGGAAUUACUGGGCGUAAAGGGCUCGUAGGUGGCCAACUAAGUCAGACGUGAAAUCCCUCAGCUUAACUGGGGAACUGCGUCUGAUACUGGAUGGCUUGAGUUCGGUAGGGAGCGGGGAAUUCCUAGUGUAGCGGUGAAAUGCGCAGAUAUUAGGAGGAACACCGGUGGCGAAGGCGCCGCUCUGGGCCGAUACUGACGCUGAGGAGCGAAAGCGUGGGGAGCAAACAGGG